UAAGGUGGUUAUAGCGAUGGGGCUCACCUCUUACCAUUCCGAACAGAGAAGUUAAGCCCAUUAGCGCCGAUGGUACUACACCAGUGGGAGAGUAGGUCGUUGCCUUUU
rnacentral:rRNA from 1 species